GCAGUCGUGGCCGAGUGGUUAAGGCGUCUGACUUGAAAUCAGAUUCCCUCUGGGAGCGUAGGUUCGAGUCCCGCCGACUGCG
rnacentral:tRNA from 1 species